rnacentral:lncRNA from 1 species
GGAAUUUUGGCACAAAAAACCUUCAAUAGAGAGACUGACCUUCUUGAUUAUAUUUUUCUGAUUUUCUCCUCCUUAAGCAAAAACCAAGGAAAUAGAAAAACAACAAAGAGAUGUCUAAGAUGAUUGUUCUUUACUUAAUCUGAUGGUCUAUCUCUAUUUCUGCUGGGUUUACUGAUUUGAGCUGAGAGUCAUAGCAUUUUGGUUUCUUGUUGUUUCUUGUUGUUGUUUACUGUUCUCUGUUGUACUCGUGGAUCUCAAAGAUACCUUUUCUUAUUCUGUUCACCUAUUGUAUUCAGGUACUUCUUUUGAACCAUGAAUGGCAAAUGGAAUGUGAACAUGCUUGUGCGGAAGAUGUACUCAUGCUGAAAUUAAUGGAGUUAUUCAUGUUGAACUUCAACCUUCAUGUUCUUUUAAGCUAUUCAGCUUUUUUCUCUGACUUUUUCCCUUUUUAGCUCUCAGCUAAAAAUGAUAAUUUUGUUGUUGUAGUCAAUGGUUAGUUGGUUGUUCAAUAUCAAAUGCUUAGUAGUUCAUUUUUAUGUGCUGGAUUUGCUUGAGAAUUUAGUUCGUUGAAGACAAGUGUAUAAACAGCACGUCCUUGUGAGCUUGUCAUGCAUUUAAUUAGUUUCACUUGAUAAGCUUAAGAUCUAGGUGUCACCUAACUGAUCCCACAUGCUAAUUGAGUCUUUGUUGCAUUGAUUUGGUAAAGUAAGUGAUGUAUAGUAAAUGUUUGCAUUGAGCUAUGCGAUGCCUGUUUAGAGUUGGAAUUUUACAAGCUAAAGACUAAACCAGGUGGUGAUACCAUUUGUCAUAAUUACUUUUAAAUCAAUUAGUGCAUUGUUAGUUUUGUUGUAUUCAGAACUCAUAUUCAUUGCUUUGAGUUAAUGUCAUUUAAUGUGUUUGUAUUGCUAGUGAGCUUGUGGGGUUUUAAUUUUAAUUUCACUGAUGGUGUGUGAUCUGGUUUCAACCUUCCCUUUUUUAACUUGUGCAACACUAAUUUUUGAAUGAUAUACUUUAGUUGACUUUU